UCCCAGAUGGCUCAGUGGUAAAGAAACUGACUGCCAAGCAGAAAAUGCAGGUUCAAUCACUGUGUUGGGAA
rnacentral:tRNA from 1 species